rnacentral:rRNA from 1 species
CCUACGGGUGGCAGCAGUGAGGAAUAUUGGUCAAUGGACGCAAGUCUGAACCAGCCAUGCCGCGUGCAGGAUGACGGCCCUAUGAGUUUUAAACUGCUUUUGUACGGGGGUAAACGCAGAUACGCGUGUCUGUCUGAAAGUAUCUUACGAAUAAGGAUCGGCUAAAUCCGUGCCAGCAGCCGCGGUAAUACGGAAGAUUCGAGCGUUAUCCGGAUUUAGUGGGUUUAAAGGGUGCGUAGGCGGUUGGAUAAGUUAGGGGUGAAAUCCCGAGGCUCAACUCCGGAAUUGCCUUUGAUACUGUUGGGCUAGAGAGUAGGUGGGGUAGGUGGAAUUUAUGGUGUAGCGGUGAAAUGCUUAGAGAUCAUAAAGAACACCGAUUGCGAAGGCAGCUUACCAAGCUACUUCUGACGCUGAGGCACGAAAGCGUGGGGAGCAAACAGGAUUAGAUACCCGAGUAGUC